GGAUGUGAGGGCAAUCUGGCCGCAACAUCUGUCACCCCAUUGAUCGCCAGGGUUGAUUCGGCUGAUCUGGCUGGCUAGGCAGGUGUCCCCUUCCUCCCUCACCGCUCCAUGUGCGUCCCUCCCCAAGCUGUGCUCUCGGUGGAAGGAUGGCCUUCCCAAAUAGAGACGGACUAGUCUUCGGUCGAGAGUAUAGGAGUAACUGUGUAGCUGCGCUCCCCUCCUAGGACGUCCAAACAAGCUCUCAAAGAAAAGAAAAGGACAUAAAUUAAAAAUAAAAAAUAAAUGCAAGUUCUCAGUUUCUGUUGCCAUUGGGUAUUU
rnacentral:snRNA from 1 species